UGUACUUCAAAAUCACUUGGAACACUAUUGCAAUAGUUUCCAAAAGUUAUAUAUACAGUUUCCUCAAUAUUUAAUGAUAAUUUGUUACUAGUCAGCCAUUUAUAGAUCAGAUUUAUAUAAAUAUUCAUUUUUGACUCAACUUCGGUCCAACAUUUACCUGUAACUAUCACAGCUGUAUCAUCUGCAUACGAUGAUAUUACGUUAUUUGGCAUGCCUGUUAACAAAUCAUUUACAUAUAUAAUCAACAGUAGCGGCCCCAAGAUCGUUCCUUGGGGAACACUUGUUUUCAACUCCUUAUAGUCACUAACGAUGGCAUUAACUUUAACACGCUGACUUCUAUUGGUUAGGUAACUUUCCAAUAGUUUAUGCACACUUCCUCUUAUACCAUAGUUAUACAGUUUGUCCAGUAGUAACAUAUGAUUUACCGUGUCAAACGCUUUAGCCAGAUCAAGAAAAAUUAUUGCUAUUGGAGUGCUUCUAUCUAGUUUUUCAUAAAUCAAGUUUGUUAUAUUUUGAAGGGCAUCUUUUGUACCAAUAUUUUUUAUAAAACCAUAUUGUUUGUCAGAAAUUAUCUCAAAUUUUCUUAUAAAAUCAGAUAUUCUGUGAUAUAUCACUUUUUCAAAUAUUUUUGCUAUGUUUGAUAUCAAUGAUAUUGGUCUGUAAUUCUCUACUUCGUGUCUUUUUUUGCUUUAAAGAUCGGUUUAAUAUCAGAACAUUUUAGAGUGCUAGGCCAAGUGGCUUUCUCAAUACAUAAAUUAAUUAUAUAAACUAGAGGUAAAACAAUAUGGUUCGAUAAAGUUAAUAUUGUCUUUGUGUUAAUAUUAUCUAAACCACCAGUUUUUAAUUUCAUAUUGUUGAUUAUUUCUUUAAUUUCUAUACAGUUUGUAGGUGUGAUUAACAUAGUGUUCGGGUUGCAAGGAGGCCUUGAUGUUUUUAUUGGUUGUAUAGUCUGCAGUUUCUGACUAAGCUUAGCACCUAUAGUGCAAUAAUAUGUAUUCAUAUUAUUCGCUAUUGUAAAUGGAAAUUUCCUAAUGGUGUUGGAGUUUGCUAUGUUUUGGGAUGCUCUUCCGGGGUUAAUAUACCCAGUCCUAAGUUUCCGAAAAAUCCUGACCAGAAAGGGACCAGAAAAAAAGGGUCACCAAAAAUUGGCGAAGAUUUAUUAAAGUAUACUGCAUCAGAAAAGCACGAUAUGGCGAGUCAUAAGUUUCCGAAAAAUCCUGACCAGAAAGGGACC